AUUUUCUGCUCGGUCUAUCCUUGCUUCGGUUGAUAUUUAUUUAAUUAUCACUGGGGAAAGUAGACCUUGCAGUAGUU
rnacentral:pre_miRNA from 1 species